rnacentral:snoRNA from 1 species
CUCUCUUAUAUGACGAAACACUUUCGGAUGUUAAAACAAUUGUCAACUGAAUUGCGCAAACAAUAUUAUGUUGAUAUCUCCGUUGCCUUCCUUCUGAUCCUAGAGC